UACGUAGGGUGCAAGCGUUAAUCGGAAUUACUGGGCGUAAAGCGUGCGCAGGCGGUUCUAUAAGACAGAUGGGAAAUCCCCGGGCUCAACCUGGGAACUGCAUUUGUGACUGUAGAGCUGGAGUACGGCAGAGGGGGAUGGAAUUCCGCGUGUAGCAGUGAAAUGCGUAGAUAUGCGGAGGAACACCGAUGGCGAAGGCAAUCCCCUGGGCCUGUACUGACGCUCAUGCACGAAAGCGUGGGGAGCAAACAGG
rnacentral:rRNA from 1 species